UACGUAGGGGGCAAGCGUUGUCCGGAAUCAUUGGGCGUAAAGAGCGUGUAGGCGGUUCGGUAAGUCGGCUGUGAAAGUCCAGGGCUCAACCCUGGGAUGCCGGUCGAUACUGUCGGGCUAGAGUCCGGAAGAGGCGAGUGGAAUUCCCGGUGUAGCGGUGAAAUGCGCAGAUAUCGGGAGGAACACCAAUGGCGAAGGCAGCUCGCUGGGACGGUACUGACGCUGAGACGCGAAAGCGUGGGGAGCAAACAGG
rnacentral:rRNA from 1 species